rnacentral:rRNA from 1 species
CGCGGCCUAUCAGCUUGUUGGUGGGGUAAUGGCCUACCAAGGCGACGAUAGGUAGCCGGCCUGAGAGGGCGACCGGCCACACUGGGACUGAGACACGGCCCAGACUCCUACGGGAGGCAGCAGUGGGGAAUAUUGCACAAUGGGCGAAAGCCUGAUGCAGCGACGCCGCGUGAGGGAUGACGGCCUUCGGGUUGUAAACCUCUUUCAGCAGGGACGAAGCGUAAGUGACGGUACCUGCAGAAGAAGCGCCGGCCGACUACGUGCCAGCAGCCGCGGUAAGACGUAGGGCGCGAGCGUUGUCCGGAUUUAUUGGGCGUAAAGAGCUCGUAGGCGGCUUGUCGCGUCGACUGUGAAAACCCGCAGCUCAACUGCGGGCCUGCAGUCGAUACGGGCAGGCUAGAGUUCGGUAGGGGAGACUGGAAUUCCUGGUGUAGCGGUGGAAUGCGCAGAUAUCAGGAGGAACACCGGUGGCGAAGGCGGGUCUCUGGGCCGAUACUGACGCUGAGAAGCGAAAGCGUGGGGAGCGAACAGGAUUAGAUACCCUGGUAGUCCACGCUGUAAACGUUGGGCGCUAGGUGUGGGGGACCUCUCCGGUUCUCUGUGCCGCAGCUAACGCAUUAAGCGCCCCGCCUGGGGAGUACGG